rnacentral:rRNA from 1 species
AACGAACGCUGGCGGCAUGCCUAACACAUGCAAGUCGAACGAGACCUUCGGGUCUAGCGGCGCACGGGUGCGUAACGCGUGGGAACCUGCCCUUAGGUUCGGAAUAACUCCCCGAAAGGGGUGCUAAUACCGGAUAAUGUCUUCGGAGCAAAGAGUUAUCGCCUUUGGAUGGGCCCGCGUUGGAUUAGCUAGUUGGUAGGGUAAAAGCCUACCAAGGCGACGAUCCAUAGCUGGUCUGAGAGGAUGAUCAGCCACACUGGGACUGAGACACGGCCCAGACUCCUACGGGAGGCAGCAGUGGGGAAUAUUGGACAAUGGGCGAAAGCCUGAUCCAGCAAUGCCGCGUGAGUGAUGAAGGCCUUAGGGUUGUAAAGCUCUUUUACCCGGGAUGAUAAUGACAGUACCGGGAGAAUAAGCUCCGGCUAACUCCGUG